rnacentral:rRNA from 1 species
UACGAAGGGUGCAAGCGUUACUCGGAAUUACUGGGCGUAAAGGGUGUGUAGGUGGUUCGAGUAAGUCAGAUGUAAAAACCCCGGGCUUAACCUGGGAAUGUCGUUUGAUACUGCUCAGCUAGAGUACUAUAGAGGAUAGUGGAAUUUCCAGUGUAGCGGUGAAAUGCGUAGAUAUUGGAAGGAACACCAGUGGCGAAGGCGACUAUCUGGAUAGAUACUGACACUGAAACACGAAAGCAUGGGUAGCAAACAGG